UUAAGUUCCUUACCUGCUAUUGGAGCCAUCAUCACUGGGGCGUUCGCUAAGGUCUCCUUGAUUUUCGCAAAGGCUUGUCGAUGGACCU
rnacentral:tRNA from 1 species